UAAUACGGAGGGUGCAAGCGUUAUCCGGAAUCAUUGGGUUUAAAGGGUCCGCAGGCGGUCAAUUAAGUCAGAGGUGAAAUCCCAUAGCUUAACUAUGGAACUGCCUUUGAUACUGGUUGACUUGAGUUAUACGGAAGUAGAUAGAAUGUGUAGUGUAGCGGUGAAAUGCAUAGAUAUUACACAGAAUACCGAUUGCGAAGGCAGUCUACUACGUAUAUACUGACGCUCAUGGACGAAAGCGUGGGGAGCGAACAGGAUUAGAUACCCCGGUAGUCCACGCCGUAAACGAUGGACACUAGUUGUUGGGAUUUAUCUCAGUGACUAAGCGAAAGUGAUAAGUGUCCCACCUGGGGAGUACGGUCGCAAGAUUG
rnacentral:rRNA from 1 species